UGUGUGUGUGUGUGUGUGUAUAUAUGUGUAUAUAUAUAUAUUCCUGCCUUUCAACUGUUAGCCUUCUCUCAGCGAACGUGUGAAGGUGAAGCGCUGUUGUGGUUCGGUCACUUGACAGUCACUUGACAGUAGCAGCAAAUGACAGCUGUCCGGACUCGAAACAAUGCCCAUGGUCAUAUAAAGUCAUUUUUAAUUUCAUGUUAUCACAUUGCUUUGUAUUACAUAGUCAUUCAAAUGUGUAAAUGACCCCAAUAGAGACAAACAGUAUGUUUAAAUAGAUUGUAUGCAGUAUCAAUAACGUGGAACAUUUCUAUGCUCAUGACUUCUGGCAUUUUCAUUAAUGCAUUUGCUUCACAUGACUUGAUGAGAAUUCCCCGAGUGAUGGCUGCCACAUCUGUCCUAUUACAGGGGUUAAUAUAAUUCCUGGAGUGAUAAGACAACAUGAGUACAUCUGCAUGGAUUCUGCCAGGAGGUGAACAGUGUCUACUUACCAUGACUACACAAACAGUCCAGCUGGGACCAGUCAUAUGAGGAUGGCAAAUGGAAUAUGUAAAGUUGGGGCAGAGUAAUACCUAGCAUAAAUUUCACACUAUGCUGUGAGGAUAUGUGUAAUAUACAGUAGAGUAAUAAAACAGUGUCAUGGUUGAUUUUCACUAUACGUAGACACACGUGAUUAAUUUAUUUCUUGCAUGCACACUAAUGGUUACAGACUUCAAUGUAUACAUAUUUAUAUAACAAAUAGAAAGGUAUUGUCUGAGUUAAUAAACAGCUUUGAGUAAUGGAGAACAUAAUUUUGCCUAAAUGAACAGAUUAGAGAUUUAUGAAGUGGUUUCCAGUACCAUCUGUGUGGGGAGGGGUUUAGUGUAUUUCUUCCUGGUACUCGGUGAAUAAAAGUGUAUGCUGGUAUCCCAGUAUUUCAAUAGCAGAGCUCUGAUGAAUAUUAUAUGAGACUUUUAUAUGUGUCAACAUACCACAUUUCUCAUGCACAUCGCUCUCAUUGAUGAUGUGACACUAAUUCCAGCUUUCCUACAUACCCUCACUCUCUUCUGCGAUCUAUCGUCUGAUGAUAAUUUGUUUCCUACUAAGAGAAAGGGUUUACAGGUCACAAGUAAUGGAGAGGAAAACCUUAAAGGAAGAUCUAAGAAGAAACAGUGAUGGUUAAUGAUGAUGUCCAUUUAAUGAAUGUAAAGCAUCAUUGACUGACUAAAUGAGACAUUUUAACUGUAAAUCCAAAGAUCCUCUGUGCAUGACACCCUCUGGCCUAUUCUGAUUUACAAUACAGGUAAGUCAACUGCAUUGUCAUCUCAUCUAUAUACACAUAUAAUGCAGGGAAAUAUUGUGCCUCCAGCACUACAGUGCAAAGCAGACAGCAUAAAAGUAGCUUAUAUGAGGUGACUGCAAAUGACAUGUAAUUGUAAACUUUCACAAGAAGCAGCUUAUGAAAUAACUUUGGAGCUGAAUUCUUUAUAUUAUAAAUAUCUUAAUAUACACUAUUUUAUGCUUUCUUUUUACUUGUGGCAAUGAAUGUGCAUCUGUGAAACUCUCUCUUUCGCUCUCUCUCUUUAUUACAGAGCUUGUAAGAUGGGUGAGAUGGGUCAUCCAUGGAUGAUAGUCUUUGCAGAUGUAGCUUUUGUGGUAAAUGUCAUGAAUACAAGGAAGGGAGACCCUGAUGGUGUUCUUAGUCAUUUUCACUGUCUGCUGCUGUGCUUUGUACUCUGAUGUAGGGAAUUCACCUAAGAGAUUUUGAUACAGCAGGUCAAGAUGCUCUCUAUAGUAGAUUUGUGGAACGUGGUGAUGUGGGUGGUUAGAAUGUGAACUCUUUGUAGUUGCAUUGUUGUGCUUUCUUGGACCCAAGUGAAACAUUUCAUGGAAACUUCAGAAAUGUCAUGCUCUUGACUGUUUGUAGAGCUUUCUAGAGCUCUUGAUGUGCAAUGUGAAUUGGCCAACAUGAGUCUUCCUGAACUCAUCAAUCAGUUGUGUUCGUACUUGUCCACAAGCUGCUCCCCACUUCUCGCUACAUGCUAAUGUGGCAUUGUUGCUGAUGCUGUGUCAUCAGAUAACUUGCUGUCAUUUGAAUGACACUUGACAGUAUGUGUCAGCAGUGUGAACAGCAGUGGACUAAGCACACAGCCCUGGGAGACACCAUGGUGAUGGUGGAAGGGUUACUGAUCUAGACUGACUGAGGUCUCUGUGGUCAGUCAGCUGAGGACAGGCAGAAUAUAAUAUUAUUCAGCAGAGUGAUGGUCUUCCCUUCAGGCUUGUUAUUCUGUAUUUCUUACAUCACAUCAAAGUACUGCAGCACAUCUGGGAGUAAGGCAUCGCUGUCACAGACACGCCAUUCUAUUUUGUAAUUAGUGAUGGCCUAAGUGCCUUGCUACAUGUCUCUAGUGGCUAGGAAGUGAACAUAAAUUGUUAAUGCAUAAGAUCAUUGGUUGGCUCUUACUGUCCUGAGGCUGAUCUGAUGGCAGAAUGACAGUUUUUCAGCAGCAAGUGAGUCUCAUGGCUUCUCCUUAAACAUACAGUGAGGUCUAAAAAUAUUUGGACAUUGAUAGUUAUUGUUAUUUUUGAUGUCCAUUUACAUCUAAUUAUAUUAUAUAUGUGGUCAACCCCCUCCUUUUUUAAGGACCAAAUUUAAUUGGACAAACUAAGCUGAUAAUACAUUCAAUACUCAUUUUCUACAGUGCUGCUUGAAAGUUUGUGAAUUUUCAAAAUUUCUGCAUAAAUACUGUAUGGUUUAAAUGAGAAGUGUUAUGCUUGGAGAAAAGAAAACACUGCAUUCCAGUAUAAGAACCUUAUCUCGUCUGUGAAACGUGGUGGUGCUAGUAUCAUGGUUUGGACCUGUUUUGCUGUAUCUAGUACAGGACGGCUUUCCG
ensembl:lncRNA